ensembl:lncRNA
CUGGAAUUCCAUCACCUCCACUGGCUUUGUUCAUAGUGAUGCUUCCUAAGGCCCACUUGACUUCACAGUCCACUAUAUUUGGUUCUAGACCACAGCACACCAGGCUUCCCUGUCCUUUACUGUCUCCUGGAGUUUGCUCAAACUUAUAUUCAUUGAGCUGGUGAUGCUAUUGAGGGGGAGGAUAUGAACAAAUCCUGGCUCCUGAAAUGAAUUUAUUGGAGAAGGCAAUGGCACUAAAAAUAAACACCCACCUGAAGAAAAGUUUGGAAACCAAACACAUCAGAAUUUGACUUCUGGUUCUGCCUUUUCCUGUUUACUGUCUUGUAAGCUGUUGAAUUUCUUUGCAUUUUUUUAUAUGUACAAUAAGGGUAAUAAUAAAGCAUUGCAGAACUUUUGUACGGAUUAGAAAUAGUAUGUGUUACAAGGUGGACAUUGAUGAAGUGCUGGUUAUGGAACUAGAGGCCAGGUCAUGAACUGGUCUUGAACUGCCGCAUGUGGG